rnacentral:rRNA from 1 species
UAGUCAUGCUAGCGAGGGGAUCAACUUGGUGGUGUGAGUCUCUCAUCUCCUCCGUGUGCACUUCCUCGUCUGGCAGGUUAGCAUCAAUUUUGAUUGUCAUCAAAUAAUUGGGGUAAUGUGACUUCUUUCGGGAAGUGUUAUAGACCUUAGUAUAUGUGAUAACCGGGAUUGAGGAUUGCAGCGGAUGCUUUUGGGCUAGUCACCUUCCUUCUG